rnacentral:rRNA from 1 species
GACGAACGCUGGCGGCGUGCCUAAUACAUGCAAGUUGAGCGCUGAAGGUUGGUACUUGAACCGACUGGAUGAGCAGCGAACGGGUGAGUAACGCGUGGGGAAUCUGCCUUUGAGCGGGGGACAACAUUUGGAAACGAAUGCUAAUACCGCAUAACAACUUUAAACACAAGUUUUAAGUUUGAAAGAUGCAAUUGCAUCACUCAAAGAUGAUCCCGCGUUGUAUUAGCUAGUUGGUGAGGUAAAGGCUCACCAAGGCGAUGAUACAUAGCCGACCUGAGAGGGUGAUCGGCCACAUUGGGACUGAGACACGGCCCAAACUCCUGCGGGAGGCAGCAGUAGGGAAUCUUCGGCAAUGGGCGAAAGUCUGACCGAGCAACGCCGCGUGAGUGAAGAAGGUUUUCGGAUCGUAAAACUCUGUUGGUAGAGAAGAACGUUGGUGAGAGUGGAAAGCUCAUCAAGUGACGGUGACUACCCAGAAAGGGACGGCUAACUACGUGCCAGCCGCCGCGGUAA